UACGUAGGGACCAAGCGUUGUUCGGAUUUACUGGGCGUAAAGGGCGCGUAGGCGGCGUGUUAAGUCACUUGUGAAAUCUCUAAGCUUAACUUAGAACGGUCAAGUGAUACUGAUGUGCUAGAGUGCAGAAGGGGCAACCGGAAUUCUUGGUGUAGCGGUGAAAUGCGUAGAUAUCUGGAGGAACACCGGUGGCGAAGGCGGCAUCCUGGACCGGCAUUGACGCUGAGGCGCGAAAGCCAGGGGAGCAAACGGG
rnacentral:rRNA from 1 species